CUAACAGACAUCACGUUCGGUGCCCGCAAGGGCGAAGAGGGAAUCCCGUGAAAUUCGGGAGCGGACCCGCCGCCGUGAGCCCCGCAAAUAGUCGGCCCCCGCGUGUGCCACUGGGAGAAAUCCUGGGAAGGCCGGGGCCGAUGGGGUGAGUCGGAAGACCUGCCGGACGUUGUGUCAUUGC
rnacentral:ncRNA from 2 species